GGAGGAGGCUGGGAAAGUCCAUCCCCAGGGAAUACCACUUUUUUCCUCUUCUGUGCCUCUCACAGGACACCCACAUGACUAGGAGGAGGCAGAAAGUGAAUAGGGAGCUCUUAUUACUUUUUGAGUGUCAGCAAGUUAAGACAUCAUCUCCAGAAAACUGUGCUAGUUGGCAUCCAGCAGUGCCCAAGUAUUAUUUAACCCACUAGAACCUGUGACUGCAUCAGCUUUAUAUCCUGGACCUCAGCCUGGAACAAAGGAGAGCUACACUUGGAUACUAAACACAAGUGGUCUGGAUAGAUUAUGCUGGGAAAAGAAGCCUGGAGCAGGCAGUACAGUGGGAGAACAAGACAGAAGUGCUUGCCUUGGUGAUCCAAAAAAGGCAGGAUCCGGCCGGGGGCAAGGUGAUUAUUCUGUCUGAUGAGGAGAAUAAGAGCCAGUUUGUGGUAUUGACAGAAGAAUGAAAGUAAAGUCUUGAAAGAUGGGAAGAUCAGGAGCAGUCUGGAGUCAUGGUAUAUGAAUGAACUAGUGAGAGUGGGCACAAAGUCUGAAGAUCUUUGUAGUGCAGCUAAUGUCUAAGGGAGAAUAUACCUACCCUAGAAGAGACAUUAAACAACCAGUUCAACCAAUCUACAAAGGCCAAAAAUAUUUUCACAGGCCCCCAAAAGAUGAACUCCAAUCUGCUGCCCCUAAACGCAUUCUCCACUGUCUGGAAGAUGUGCAAAGGCAACGGCACAGCGUUCUCCAUCUCAAAUCCUUCAAAGUGCUGUCAGAAUAAAAGAAUCCCCACCAAAAGCCCCAGGGAAAUCUAUCUGUCUGUAUGGUAUGGUAAUGACUGAGGUUAUUCCAGAUAGGAUUCUGGGAGAAACUCAGCUAUUGAAAUCUAAUGAAUGGAACUGAGAAUUUCUUGUUAUAAUACUGUUUGUUUGAUUGAAUAUAUCCUUGCAUAUAGGAAGACAUAAAAAUAAAUAAUAAAAGCAA
ensembl:lncRNA LINC01013 long intergenic non-protein coding RNA 1013